GUCCUAUUGUAUUAUUUAAUAGGUCUGGCCUGCCCAGUGAUAAUUUCAACGGCCGCGGUAUAUUGACCGUGCAAAGGUAGCAUAAUCAUUAGUCUUUUAAUAGGAGGCUGGAAUGAAAGGUUUAACGAGAAAUUAACUGUCUCAAUUGCAAUCUUGAAUUUAUCUUUUGAGUCAAAAGACUUAAAUUUAAUUGGUGGACGAGAAGACCCUAUAGAGCUUGACAAUUAUUUUUUUUCUAUUUACUUAGUCAAAUUAUUUAUUUAUAUUAAAAAUAUUGUUUUGUUGGGGUGACAAUAAAUAUAUAUUUAACUUUUAUCAUAGUGUUAACAUUAAUAUAUGAUUUUUGGAUCCAAAAAUUUUGAUCAUUAGAUUAAGUUACC
rnacentral:rRNA from 1 species